rnacentral:rRNA from 1 species
UACGGGGGGGGCAAGCGUUGUUCGGAAUUACUGGGCGUAAAGGGCGCGUAGGCGGCCAACUAAGUCAGACGUGAAAUCCCUCGGCUUAACCGGGGAACUGCGUCUGAUACUGGAUGGCUUGAAUCCGGGAGAGGGAUGCGGAAUUCCAGGUGUAGCGGUGAAAUGCGUAGAUAUCAAGAGGAACACCUGAGGUGAAGACGGGUUGCUGGGCUGACACUGACGCUGAGGCGCGAAAGCCAGGGGAGCAAACGGG